GGUGAACGCUGGCGGCGUGCCUAAUACAUGCAAGUCGAGCGAACAGACGCGGAGCUUGCUCCUCUGACGUUAGCGGCGGACGGGUGAGUAACACGUGGAUAACCUACCUAUAAGACUGGGAUAACUUCGGGAAACCGGAGCUAAUACCGGACAAUAUAUUGAACCGCAUGGUUCAAUAGUGAAAGACGGUUUUGCUGUCACUUAUAGAUGGAUCCGCGCCGCAUUAACUAGUUGGUAAGGUAACGGCUUACCAAGGCAACGAUGCGUAGCCGACCUGCGAGGGUGAACGGCGACACUGGAACUGAGACGCGGUCCAGACUCCUACGGGAGGCAGCAGUAGGGAAUCGUGCGCAAUGGGCGGAAGCCUGACGGAGCAGCGCCGCGUGAGUGAUGAAGGUCUUCGGAUCGUAAGACUCUGUUAUUAGGGAAGAACAAAUGUGUAAGUAACUAUGCACGUCUUGACGGUACCUAAACAGAAAGCCACGGCUAACUACGUG
rnacentral:rRNA from 1 species